UUGAUCCUGGCUCAGAAUCAACGCUGGCGGCGUGCCUAACACAUGCAAGUCGAACGCGAAAAGGGCUUCGGCUCUUAGUAGAGUGGCGAACGGGUGAGUUACACGUGGGUGACCUACCUUCGAAUGGGGGAUAACGUCCCGAAAGGGACUCUAAUACCGCAUAACAUCCUGCUUUUGAACAGGUGGAGAUCAAAGCCGGUGAUCGCAAGACCUGGCGUUUGAAGAGGGGCCCGCGUCUGAUUAGCUAGUUGGUGAGGUAACGGCCCACCAAGGCGACGAUCAGUAUCCGGCCUGAGAGGUCGGACGGACACACUGGGACUGAGACACGGCCCAGACUCCUACGGGAGGCUGCAGUGGGGAAUUGUUCGCAAUGGGCGCAAGCCUGACGACGCAACGCCGUGUGGAGGAUGAAGGUCUUCGGAUUGUAAACUCCUGUUGCUCGGGACGAAUAGCUUCGACCUAACACGUCGAAGUCUGACGGUACCGGGUGAGGAAGCCCUGGCUAACCCUGUGCCAGCAGCCGCGGUAAUAAGGU
rnacentral:rRNA from 1 species